CUGUUACAGGAUCUCUACUGUC
rnacentral:piRNA from 1 species